rnacentral:lncRNA from 1 species
AAUAGACUGACUAAUCUCAUGGUACAAGACUGGUAGCAAUAGCAUCACGUGUUUCGGCCAUGGUACCAUCAUCUUCUAGUGGUAGAGCGUUGGCGCCUGUAAAUGGCAAUGGGGGCUGCACAUACGCAUCAUUGUCAAACUUGUCAAAAUGCUCAUCAUGCAACUUGCUAUCACGAAUGAAGUUGUGGAGACACAUGCAUGCAGUGACAACCAUCUUUUGGCUCUCCGGUUUGUACCGUGGUAUGCCUCCAAGAAUUCGCCAUUUCAUCUUGAGAACACCGAAUGUUCUUUCAAUGACAUUUCGCAAAGAAGAAUGACGAUGGUUGAAUGUCUCAUGUCUACCAAUGGGUGGGUGUUGUUGGAACUCUGGUACAUGGUAUCGUUGCCCUUUGUAUGGUGCUAGAUAUCCAACCCUGUUUGGAUAUCCAGAGUCCACAAGGUAAUAUUUAUCUAUAGUAAAACAUCAUAAGCUAUUAGAAAUGUAGUACGUACCAUCAUGUACAUAACAAAAUACAUACAAGAGACUACUUGUGGGAGGUUGUGGAAAAUGAUCAUAACGAACUAUAGCAUCGCUCCAUACACGUGUGUCAUGAACAGAUCCGGGCCAUCUAGGAACAACAAAAGUGAACCUCAUAUCGAAAUCACAGACUGCCAUGACAUUUUCACUUGUAACCCCUUUCCUAUUCCUGUGUUGUGGCUCCAACUCCUUAGGCACAAUCACUUCAAUGUGUGUUCCAUCUAUGGCUCCAAUAGCAUUUUUGAAAUGAGGCCAGAACUUUGUUUUUCUUAGUAUGGGGUGCGGUUCAGAGAAAGAUGGAUCAAUAGGCCUAAUGAAAUCACCAGCCAUGCGGUCCACACACUCCAAAACCUCAUGAAAUUUUUUGUUGAUGACAGAACGACUAUGUCCAAACCGAUCUGCUACAUUAUCAGUGGUUUGGCACGUCCCCAAAGUCCAUAAAAACUGUGCCAAUGCUUCUUUCGAUGAUAUGUUGCAAGUUGACUUAAGCCCGUACUUCUCAACUAACAAUUCAUGCAAUGAGUAAAAAACUGACCUCCUCAUUCUGAACAUAGAGUAGAAAGCUUUUGCAUCUUGCUCCUUCUCUGCCACCCAUUGGAGGCCUGUAACAAGGUGUGACUUUCUUGGUGCAUACGGCAAUAUCUCACUUGGCGACCCCACUUCCAUAGCACAUGCAAACAUGGCCAAAUCCCAUUCCUUAUCUGAUCCAUCUGAAGAUUCAUCUGAAGUGUCCAUCUGCCACAUAAACAUACACAGGAGAGUUUAGCAACAACAUACAAAAUUACCAACAAUAGUUCUACAUGAUACAAUACAGUUCCAAAGCAAAUAAUUAUGUUCUGAACAAGUGAACAUUGCAUUAUGAGAGCAAACAACAUGUUCAGGACAUUACAAGUUGGAAGCAAAGGACUGGGUUCACAACAUUACAUGUUUCGAAGCAAAUGGUUGGAAGCAAAUGAUACAUAUCGGUUCACAUCAUUACAAGUUCAAAGCAAAUAGUUGGGUUCUACUUAUUUUUGUUGAGCUCCCAUGUCCUCUCUAUCCAUCGAAGCCUUGCACUAGGUUCAUGAUCCUUGAAUGUUACGAAAAUAUCAAGAUAUUUCCUUUCCAACAUAAGAUGGGAAGCAUAGAAAUGCACAUCACUCCCAGGUUUAGCACCAUCUGCAAUCACCAUGUUCAUCAUGUCUCCAGUCUCCUUUCUUGUUGUAUCCUCUCCUAGGUUUCCCUUUCUCUUUUCCCUUGCACCAAAGAGGUCAACCAUACGUACAAGUGCAUCGGUUUUAACACUUUCAUUUGACCACUUCUCAUUCAUCCUAGGACUUGGCGAAUAAGAACAUGGCAUCUUCUUCCCAAUCUUGGCACGCUUCGUACGAGGUGUAGCUUCGACAUCAUGACUUUCACAACCUGAAUCAUCAUCCAUAUUAAAGCGAG